GAAAUACUCCCUCCGUUCUGAAUUACUUGUCUUGGAUUUGUCUAGAUACGAAGGUAUCUAGCACUAAAAUGAGUCUAGAUACAUCCGUAUCUAGACAAAUCCAAGACAAGUAAUUCGGAACGGAGGGAGUAGAUG
rnacentral:pre_miRNA from 1 species